UUUUCCUUCCUGCUGUCACCAAAUGCUUGCUCAUCGGGGCUCAAACUCAUCAGCAACCAGCUGCAGAGGAGCUUGCAUCCACUAAAAGCAGCAGGAACAAAGUCAGGAAACAAAUGCUCCGAAGGAAAAAGUGAAAAACCUCAAAGCAAACAGACACUCAAAGAAAGGAAGACGAAGAAGAGAAAGGAAAGGAGGAAAAACAAAAGACGAGAGAAGAAAUUCACUGAAACAUCACUUGAUGAUUGCACAAAAACUCAGAUCUG